AGGCCUGAAGAGAGAGGCAGGGUCUGAUCCACAGUCUCCAUGGCAGCUGUUGAUCAGCUGUUGCCUCUCUCUUUCUCUCUG
rfam:Myotis lucifugus cont2.33540, whole genome shotgun sequence.